rnacentral:rRNA from 1 species
UUGGAGGGCAAGUCUGGUGCCAGCAGCCGCGGUAAUUCCAGCUCCAAUAGCGUAUAUUAAAGUUGUUGCAGUUAAAAAGCUCGUAGUUGAAUUUCGGGAUUCAUCCGUUGGUCGGGCUUCACGGUCCGCACUGGUGUGAUGGGUUCCUACCUUCUGAAUAACCGGCAUGCCAUUAAUUUGGUGCGCCGGGGAAGCAGAACUAUUACCUUGAAAAAAUUAGAGUGCUUAAAGCAGGCAAGUGCCUGAAUAGGUUAGCAUGGAAUAAUAAAAUAGGACGGCAUGGUUCUAUUUUGUUGGUUUCUAGGAUCACCGUAAUGAUUAAUAGGGAUAGUUGGGGGCAUUAGUAUUCAAUUGUCAGAGGUGAAAUUCUUGGAUUUAUUGAAGACUAACUUCUGCGAAAGCAUUUGCCAAGGAUGUUUUCAUUAAUCAAGAACGAAAGUUAGGGGAUCGAAGACGAUCAGAUACCGUCGUAGUCUUAACCAUAAACUAUGCCGACUAGGGAUCGGACGAUGUUAAUUUUUUAAUGACUCGUUCGGCGCCUUACGGGAAAC